AAAAAAAACACAUAUAGGCGUAAUCUUGUAAGAAAGUUCCUCCAUCAAAAGAUUCCUUUUUGACUCUGGAAAGAACAUUCUUGAAAAAAGUACAAUAACAAAAAUACCGACAUCCGAGGAAAAUUAAAUUUGGAAUGUCUUUUAUCAAAUGUCAAAAUAUAAAGCUCAAACACAUCAAACGAAUGAUUAACAUCAAUACAC
rnacentral:lncRNA from 1 species